AAAAGAGAGAAAAAUGACAAGAAGAAAAGGAAAAAAGAGGACGAACUAAACGAGGCAAAGCACGUUUUUGUUCUUCUUCAAUACGAUACAUGGAGCGCUAAUCUAUCACUUUCCUCUCUUAGCUCGGUUCCUCUCCAAUACAAAUACAGAACGGUGGUUGAUCUGCUUGGUUUGUCGUCCCUUCUUGUAAACUCUAUAUAGAAUUAAUUCCUUUCAUGGCCCUUCUUUCAAAUUCAAAUUGUUUCUGCCAAUUUUCGUCGUUUUACUUUGUUCUACCUGAAUGUGAUUAUGGGCUUUGCUUUAGGUGUAAUUUAUGAUUUUUAAAAUUACAUUUUAGAUUUUUAUAGAUGUGUUUGAUGUUGUAUUAAGUUGAGAACAGCAUAGGAUCGCAUUAUCUGCGAUCUCUAUGUAUCCAUUUCUUCUUUUGUUUGUUCUCAUUUAUGGGUUCCCCACGAUCGUUAAUGCUUAGAAAACGAUCUUAAAAGUAGUUAACUAGUUAUAAAAGAGCUGAACGAAAGUAGUCCCCGGCCUUUGGAUCUAUUAUAAGAUCUAUCACUUGAUGUCUGAGUUAGGUACAUGUGGUGAUAAGAGCGUAGCGCGUGAUAUAUGAGUUAAAACGGACAAUUUUUCCCCUCCUUUUAAGAGCGUAAUAAUUGGCACAUGUCACGGGUUUAAACCCCGUGGCUAAUAAAGGGUAUUUAAGCAGAGGCGGCUCAACUAGAGUCGAAGUGUAAACCUAAAUAACGUUAGCUACUUUAACUUUUAGAGGCCUAAAGUAGCGAUUUUAUUGCUUUGCCGUUAAAGCCACCAUUGUAUUUAAGUAAACAAGGAUAGAGGAGCGAAUCCAUUAUCUAUCGAAUUUCAGAUCAUACGUCAGACUUAAAAAUUUCUCAGUUAUAACAAAAGAGAGCUUAGCAAAAGAAAUGCUAGAAACAGAAAGGAAAAGUAACAUAGAGUGUCUACGUUAGGCUGCCUGAAAUUAACUUAUACUGUAUGUAAUAUCAUAGUUUUAGUAUACUGUCAUCUUCUCAAAUGACCUUUUAAUUUAGUGUGCCGACUUUCAGAAUAACAUUAUUGAUAUUGUUGUUACACUAUACAACUUCUUGUAGUCUUUGUUGGAAUAGGUUAGCUAAACAUAUACAUAUGUUGUGUAUGUGUAUACAUUAUAUGUGUGUGCACACAUAAACACAUAUAUACAUACAUGUACUCACAGUUGCAGGUGUAGUUGUAUAACAAAAGAAACUUCAUUAUAGUACACAACUUAUUUGCUUUAUUGGACACUGUUGCUUUCACAUAUUUUACAUUUUACUAAUUGAUCUGAUCUCUUUCCUUUAAUUGUAGGAAAUUUUGAAAUGGACAAGACUUGGAUGCGUUGUACCAAUAGACUGAGCAAUGUGUAUUUAAAAGGAGUUAGACAAUUUUCCCCACUUUGCAAUUAAGCACUCAGAAUUAGAAGGUGACAUUCCUUGCACUUGUAAGAGAUGCAACAAUGGUUUGCACCGCACUAGGGAUGAAGUUGAGAACAUUUAAUAAUUUUUGGGAUCGUCAAAGGAUACACUCGUUGGCUUUUAACCUGUUUGGCCAAGCUUUUUUUUGGCCAAAAGUGUUUUUUUUUUCAAAAGCACUUUUGACCAAAAAUUGAGGUGUUUGGCCAAGUUUUUGGAAGGAAAAAAAGUAAUUUUGAGGAGAAGCAAAAAAAAGUAAUUUAUUUCCAAAAGCACUUUUUUGAGAAGCACUUUUGAGAAAAAUACACUUAGAAUCAGUUUUUUAAAGCUUGGCCAAACACUAAUUGCUACUCAGAAAUGCUUUUCAAACUAAUUAGCCAAACACAAACUGUUUCUUACCGAAAGUACUUUUAAAAAAGAACUUUAAAAAAAACACUUUUUAAAAUAAGUUACUUUUGCAGCUUGGUGAAACGGGCUAUUUAUCACAGAGAAAUUGUGCCCAAUCAUGAAGACGAGAGGAAGUAAGGAAAGAGAAAGGUGAUGUACAUUUGAAAUGAUUUAUGAUGUUUCUAUUCAUGAGAUGAUGGAUAAUUUUAGUGGGGUUAUGUUUAAACAUGGCACUGCCUAAUAUAAUAAUUGUAAGUUCUUUCAUGAACUUUUGCUGUGUUAAUUAGAGUUCAAGUUUAUUUUACAAUUUUUAAUUCAAAUCAAUUAUAAUUUAAA
rnacentral:lncRNA from 1 species